rnacentral:lncRNA from 1 species
UAAAGUCCAAGGAAUAUGUGAUUGGGAGAAUGCAAUCUAAUGAAGUUAGAUUCAUGAGACCAUUCUUUCAUAGACACAUCCUAAAUGUUCCUGAUCAUAGGAUUGUCAAUUGGGCAUUGACAGUCCGUCAAGAUCGGUACGUGCUAUGUCUUCUCUCAGGGAGAGUGACUAGUCUCGAGUCAUUGGUGUGUGUAACAUCAAGACAAGUACGUAGGUGCUCAGUAGAGAAUGAGUUCACUGAACACGAUCAACGAAGAGUUCUCAUACUCAUGUCACAUGAAAACUCAUGGUUGGGAUAAUGCAAAGUAGUCCUUUGACCUGAGGCAUCACAGUUGUCUUGUGGUUAAGUCCUUGAUCUUUGAUUAUGUCAAACGUCAUUCCAUUGGAGUGUCCACGACAUCGUUGGGGUUAAGCCACUUAGCCAUGGAGGCAAGUGAAUGCGCAACAAGGGAUCUCUAACCUUCAAACUGUUUGAGGGAGAAUACUCUAUGAUAUGAUUAGAAUCUCUGGCCAGAGUAUGAAUGAGAUUUGGGAAUGCGUUCCGAAUCACAUUCAAGGAAAUCAUAUAAGCACAUGAAUCACAUUAGAUAGUAGACAUGAAUAAAUA